AGUGAACGCUGGCGGUAGGCCUAACACAUGCAAGUCGAACGGCAGCACAGUAAGAGCUUGCUCUUACGGGUGGCGAGUGGCGGACGGGUGAGGAAUACUUCGGAAUCUACUUUUUCGUGGGGGAUAACGUAGGGAAACUUACGCUAAUACCGCAUACGACCUACGGGUGAAAGCAGGGGAUCUUCGGACCUUGCGCGAUUGAAUGAGCCGAUGUCGGAUUAGCUAGUUGGCGGGGUAAAGGCCCACCAAGGCGACGAUCCGUAGCUGGUCUGAGAGGAUGAUCAGCCACACUGGAACUGAGACACUGUCCAGACUCCUACGGGAGGCAGCAGUGGGGAAUAUUGGACAAUGGGCGCAAGCCUGAUCCAGCCAUACCGCGUGGGUGAAGAAGGCCUUCGGGUUGUAAAGCCCUUUUGUUGGGAAAGAAAAGCAGCAGGUUAAUACCCCGCUGUUCUGACGGUACCCAAAGAAUAAGCACCGGCUAACUUCGUG
rnacentral:rRNA from 1 species